rnacentral:rRNA from 1 species
AUACGGAGGAUGCGAGCGUUAUCCGGAUUUAUUGGGUUUAAAGGGUGCGUAGGCUGUGCGUUAAGUCAGGGGUGAAAUGCCGUCGCUCAACGACGGAGCUGCCCUUGAUACUGGCGUGCUGGAGUACGGAUGCCGUUGGAGGAAUGAGUGGUGUAGCGGUGAAAUGCUUAGAUAUCACUCAGAACACCGAUUGCGAAGGCAUCUGACGAAUCCGUCACUGACGCUGAGGCACGAAAGCGUGGGGAUAGAACAGGAUUAGAUACCCUGGUAUUCCACGCCGUAAACGAUGAUGACUAACCGUCGGCGAUAGACAGCCGGUGGCCAAGCGAAAGCGAUAAGUCAUCCACCUGAGGAGUACGUCGGCAACGAUGAAACUCAAAUGAAUUGGCGGG